rnacentral:rRNA from 1 species
AACGGUAACAUGAGUGCUUGCACUUGAUGACGAGUGGCGGACGGGUGAGUAAUGUAUGGGGAUCUGCCGAAUGGAGGGGGACAACAGUUGGAAACGACUGCUAAUACCGCAUAAAGUUGAGAGACCAAAGCAUGGGACCUUCGGGCCAUGCGCCAUUUGAUGAACCCAUAUGGGAUUAGCUAGUUGGUAGGGUAAUGGCUUACCAAGGCGACGAUCUCUAGCUGGUCUGAGAGGAUGACCAGCCACACUGGAACUGAGACACGGUCCAGACUCCUACGGGAGGCAGCAGUGGGGAAUAUUGCACAAUGGGGGGAACCCUGAUGCAGCCAUGCCGCGUGUAUGAAGAAGGCCUUCGGGUUGUAAAGUACUUUCGGUGAUGAGGAAGGUGACGUAUCUAAUAGGUACGUUAAUUGACGUUAAUUACAGAAGAAGCACCGGCUAACUCCGUG